rnacentral:rRNA from 1 species
AUGAACGCUAGCGACAGGCUUAACACAUGCAAGUCGAGGGGUAACAGGGUAGCAAUACCGCUGACGACCGGCGCACGGGUGAGUAACGCGUAUGCAACCUGCCUAUAACUGGGGAAUAGCUCCCUGAAAGGGGAAUUAACACCGCAUAACACUAUUGAUUCGCAUGGAUUUGUAGUUAAAUGUAGCGAUACAGGUUAUAGAUGGGCAUGCGUGACAUUAGCUAGUUGGUGAGGUAACGGCUCACCAAGGCUACGAUGUCUAGGGGUUCUGAGAGGAAGGUCCCCCCACACUGGUACUGAGACACGGACCAGACUCCUACGGGAGGCAGCAGUGAGGAAUAUUGGUCAAUGGGCGCAAGCCUGAACCAGCCAUGUCGCGUGCAGGAAGAACCUGCCCUAUGGGUUGUAAACUGCUUUUAUAGUAGAAGAAACACAUCUACGUGUAGAUGUCUGCCAGUAUACUAUGAAUAAGCAUCGGCUAACUCCGUGCCAGCCGCCGC